rnacentral:rRNA from 1 species
UACAGAGGUCUCGAGCGUUAGGCGGAAUCACUGGGCUUAAAGCGUGUGUAGGUGGAUGCCUAAGUACCUUGUGAAAUCCCACAGCUUAACUGUGGAACUGCUUGGUAUACUGGGUGUCUUGAGUCACUCAGGGGCGAGCGGAACAAAUGGUGGAGCGGUGAAAUGCGUAGAUAUCAUGUGGAACGCCAAUGGUGAAAACAGCUCGCUGGGGGUGCACUGACACUGAGACACGAAAGCCAGGGGAGCAAACGGG